rnacentral:pre_miRNA from 1 species
UGAUGAUGAUGAUGAUGAUGAUGGUGGUGGUGGUGAUGAUGAUGAUGAUGAUGGUGGUGGUGAUGAACAUUAACAACAUCAUCGUCAUCAUCAUCGUCAUCAUCAACAUCAUCAUCAUCA